CAAGUACUCCCUCCGUUCGGAAUUACUUGUCACAAAAAUGGAUGUAUCUACAACUAAAAUACAUCUAGAUACAUUCAUUUCUUGGACGAGUAAUUCCGAACGGAGGGAGUAUCUC
rnacentral:pre_miRNA from 1 species